rnacentral:lncRNA from 1 species
GGGAGGGCAAAGAGCCACUGUGACAGCCUUUUUGGGUAUCUGCACUUGGUGGCUCCUGAAUUCUUGUCCAGUGCCCAAGAAGAAUGAGGUCAUGCAGACAAAUCAAAGGAUGUCAAGUCACCUCUUUCUGACGUCCAGCCACUGUCUCUGAAGUCAAGUCACCUCUUUCUGAUGUCCAGCUGCUUCUCUGAAGUCAAGUCACCUCUCCCUGUGAUCCAGCCACUUCUCUGAAGUCAAGUCACCUCUCCCCGACAUCCAGCCAUGUCUCUGAAGUCAGGAACUUACAGUCCUGUUUAAAGACACGAAGAGAAAAACGAGAUGCCAAACCACAGUGGGAGUUUAGAGAAGACUGUGAUGAGAGUUGGAGCAUUCUUGGGGAGUCUUUGCUGCAGAGAUGGGACUUUAUGCAUCAGUACAUUCUUAAAGUGUCUACGCUGCCCCGGGAUGCUGAGCCCCUGGACACCACAGGUGGCAUUUCAGCUAUGAGUGAGGGGGGGCAUUUGGAAGGGGAGCCCCGAAGGGGAAGACAAUGGCUCAGAGAGAAUGAAGUCAGCACUUCCCAGCCUCUGUGUGCUGCGGUCCAAGGCUUCGGCCGGGAGCACUGCAGAGCAAAAGUUCUGAGAGCCACGGCUCAGGCUUAACUGGCCAGAGCGAGCUUGGCAGCUGCUCUCGUCCCAGCAGGCUUUGCUCUCUGAGGCAGUCAUUCCCACCACACAAAGGCAGUUCUGUGCCUCCCAAAGGUGCUUGGGGCAGGAAUGAAGAGCGGAACAGCCCCCAUCAAUCCAAUAGGAUUGUCGUUUUACGCUGGCGUGGAGCCUCAGACAUCAAAAGGGCUGGAGAGUGAAGCCACGUGUGAGCCGUGAAGUUGGUGACCCUGAGGCACAGAAAGCUGAGGGAAUUUGUUCGAAGUCACACAGCUGGGUCCUUGCAGAUGUAAUCGGGUGAAGAUGGGUUCAUAUUGGAUUGGAGUGAGUCAUAAUCCACUGUGACUGGUGUCUUUAAAAGAAAAGGACACACGGAAAUUCAGAGACAGAAAGACCCACAGGGAGAAUGCCAUGUGAUGACAGAGGCAGAGACUGGAGUGAUGGGUCUAUAGCCAACGGACACCAAAGACUCUCAUCCACCAGAAGCUGGAAGAGGCAAGAAGUGGAAAAGCAUUUGGGAGGAAGUGGAACCAAAGCAGAUCCUAUCCAAGGUGAAUGGCAAGCAGCUAUAUGAGGAUGGCCUUGCUCCCAGCCGGGUUAGUUUUCACAACAGGCCUGUGUGCCUUGCGCGGUCUUCUGUGCAAAGUCCUUCCCUCCCUCGCCCUCAGCUUUGGAAGAAGA